AGCGAACGCUGGCGGCGUGCUUAACACAUGCAAGUCGAGCGAGAAAGGGGGCUUCGGCCCCUGAGUACAGCGGCGAACGGGUGCGUAAUACAUGAGCAAUCUAUCCUUGAGGCGGGAAUAACCCAGCGAAAGUUGGGCUAAUACCGGAUGAGACCACAGGAGGAAACUCCAGGGGUCAAAGGCAGCUCUCUUUUGGGAGCGGCCCUUCGAAGAGGAGCUCAUGUCCUAUCAGCUAGUUGGUAGGGUAACGGCCUACCAAGGCGAAGACGGGUAGCUGGUCUUAGAGGAUGAUCAGCCACACGGGGACGUGAGACACGGCCCCGACUCCGUACGGGGGCGAGCAGUGGGGAA
rnacentral:rRNA from 1 species